rnacentral:Y_RNA from 1 species
GGCUGGUCCAGUGCAGUGAUAUUUACAACUAAUUGAUCACAACUGGUCACAGAUUCCUUUGUUCCUUCUUCACUCCCAUUGCUUUACUUGACUAGCCUUAA